rnacentral:rRNA from 1 species
GACGAACGCUGGCGGCGUGCUUAACACAUGUAAGUCGAACGGAAAGGCCCUGCUUUUGUGGGGUGCUCGAGUGGCGAACGGGUGAGUAACACGUGAGUAACCUGCCCUUGACUUUGGGAUAACUUCAGGAAACUGGGGCUAAUACCGGAUAGGAGCUCCUGCUGCAUGGUGGGGGUUGGAAAGUUUCGGCGGUUGGGGAUGGACUCGCGGCUUAUCAGCUUGUUGGUGGGGUAGUGGCUUACCAAGGCUUUGACGGGUAGCCGGCCUGAGAGGGUGACCGGCCACAUUGGGACUGAGAUACGGCCCAGACUCCUACGGGAGGCAGCAGUGGGGAAUAUUGCACAAUGGGCGGAGGCCUGAUGCAGCAACGCCGCGUGCGGGAUGACGGCCUUCGGGUUGUAAACCGCUUUCGCCUGUGACGAAGCGUGAGUGACGGUAAUGGGUAAAGAAGCACCGGCUAACUACGUG